rnacentral:lncRNA from 1 species
GAUCAUGAAGAAAGUAAAGAGGUUGAAUGGGUAAAAACCAUUGCGGAAGAAUAUCUGUUAAAAGAAAUAUUUACUGAAUCGACCGACAAUGGUUUAAUAGAUUGGUGUUCUGAAGGUACUGCUGAUGAUGUAGUCCCACCUAUUUUAGAUAAUUCAGAUGUCAUGAUGGUCAAUGGGUGGAGAUCGAGAAUAGAGAAAUUCGAGCAGUUCCCCUCACAAGGAAAGAAAAUUGUACAAUCUCGGAAACAAGGAUCCAUACUUGAGCUGAAACCCUUACCAAGGGAACUCAAGUAU